GCGUGGGAAACUCUGGCUAGCAGGCGUAGGAAACUCUGCCUAGCAGGCGUGGGAAGCUCCCACCUUUGCACACAGCAAUUUUCAUUUAUUUGUAACAAAUGUUUUACAUCAUGUAGGAUAUUCCUUCUACGUCACAAUUGUAUAUGUUAUGUUGGACUUUCACAUAAGAUUCAAAUAAAAUAUUAUUUCAUGUUGGUGGAUGUAAUGUGACUAAAUUUGGGAAAGUUCAGAAAAGGGCCACAGGAGGCACGGUCUGAGUUCAUCAGAGUGCAUUUAGAAGCAGAACAACACCCUGGUUGUAAUCCUGUCAUCCUCAGAUACAGAAAGGAGCUGCAGCACAAAUGAAAAGUCUCAGGGUGGGGAGGCUAGUGUCCAGUUCAGGGCUUCGCCUGUUCCUGACAGUCCUGUAUCUGCUCACAAUGAGCUGCAGCUCCAAGUGUGACAGUCGAAGUGUCAGUCCAACCAUUCUCCACCACAGAAGAAGUUAUCAAUUGCACUGUUGAACUGGAGUCAUCAACUCUAAAGAGAACCAGGGAAGCGCCAAAUACUGAACCUGGACACAAGGAGGAUUCCUCCAUGCUAUCUUCUCCAGCUUCUAGACAACCUGACACUGAUAAAAGGAGGAAAAUAGCGUUUUGGCUUUUCCUGCUGCAACUGAUUUAUGAUAAGGUUACCCAACCUGGGGAUGACAUGCUAUAUCAACUCCAUCCUCCAAAGCGUCCUUACUGACCCUGAGCUGCUCUCACCCAAGAUCCCAGCUCUUCAGGUACAGCACUCCAGACAAUAAAACAUCAUCAGUAUGGUUUCUAGAUAUUGAAGUCAGUCGCUACUCCAACAUCAGAGAGGAGAAUAAGUCGCUUCCAUCCUCUUUUUAAAUGGACCGUCGCUGAGUAUAAUUCAGAUUUUAACGAUGACGAGCAGAAGGAUGCCCAUGAGUUCCUCGUUUGUGUUCUGGACAUAAUGAGGUCUGUGUCAUCAGAGGUUGAGCUGACAGCUGUAAACUCUGGCCUGACCUACACGUGCCCAGUCCGUGAACAUAUUACACUUCAGAUGUUAAACGUCAGAACCUGCAGGGGUUGUGGUGAGCAGUCCUAUAGAGUGGAGGACUUUGUUAACCUCACUCUGGAGCUGGUACCAGGGGGAUCGGUGGGCCAGUGUCUGCAGGAGUAUUUCAAGGGGGACCAGAUAGAUUACACGUGCCACUGUGGAGCGCAGCAGUCAUCCCUGCAGAGCUCAUUCUCCACCCUGCCAAAAAUGUCAUCACAUCUGUGAGAGUAUCCAAAGAGGGCUGGAUAUGGGGGAUUCAGCAAACUCUUGGCUAACAGAUGAUGAUGAACAUGUCAGCCAAACAACAGGAGAAGUUGUCUGCUGCCGUAGACUAAGAAACGCUUUCCUAGUCUUCUAUGAAAACCAGGGUGCUCCUCUCGACUUACGCGGCAGAGAAGGUCGAACAACGGCUUCCUUGGACCCACGCGUCACACUGCAGGGAGGUGCCGCCACCGCCAGGGGCCGACAAAUCGCAGGACAAGAAAGAUCACACGCCAGGAUCGUCGCCAUCCACCUGAGCCACAAAGCUGGCUGUGAGGACAGCGGCCCACCACAAGUUGUUUUUUUGCAGGAAGAGGUGGGUGAAGAGCACUGCUCCGACGGAAUCACAAUAACAUUCCGGGCAGUGAUUUGAGUUGCUUGUCUCCAGAGAGAGAGACAACAGAGUUUGAAACAGCUGAUCUGUGGAGCACAACAAGAAUCAGCCUGUUUGCUCAUUGCUUAUGCUCCCUUCAUGUCAGAAAACUGACUGAUUAAAAAAAGAAAAAGGGGAGAGAAGAGGAGGCAAGAGGAAGACGAAGCAUUUAUUCAUUUAAUCCCUUAAUCCCUUUGGUUAGACGACUGUUAACCUCCGCAGUAUCUGGUAGCUUCUUUACGGGUCAAACGGAUACAGAGACUGGUGUUUUCCCCGGGAAACAUGCCCACAGAUGUUGAAAUUCCUGAUCUGAGAGACGAUGAUGAUUGUAAUGUUAAUGAUACAACCUGUUAACAUGGAUUUCCUUUUUCCUUCUUGGUGACUGUUCCUUGUAAUGCUUUUGAAAAUGUUCCUGUAGGUUUGAUGAUAUUGAUUUGUUUGAUGAUAUUGAUUUGUUUGAUUUUCCAUUUUACAGUAGUAUUGUCAGAUUGUUGUUUUUUUUCCCCGUUACGUUUUCUUUUUUAUUAUCAAUUUAGAUUUAUGCAUGAAUUAAAAUGUUUAGUUGUAUUAGUUUAGUUUUGCUUAAGCAAUGUUUUAAUUGAUAUUUGGAGUUUGAAAUGUUUUUCCUGACAUGAUUCUUUUUUGUUCUCACUGCUUGAUGAAAGAAAUGGAGUUUUCUUAUACCAAAGAUCACUGAUUUAUGCAAUUUUUGUUUAUUACAGAAGGACAGACCUGGGAUCUGAUUGGCUCUAUAGAUCCUUUAAUAUUAGCUGGUAAUGGUAACUCCUAGAUUCAACACGGGGUUUUCUGGCUCAGAUUGGCCGAGAGCAGAUCUCCCUGGGGGUCUCACCAGUUUUUACUACUCUUGUGGGUAGCUUUUUCUGGUUUUUUCCCCGCCCACACUGAACCUCUCCUGCUUUUGCUCCUGGUUUGGUAAGUUUGAGGAUGGUGGAUGGUUAUCCAUCGAAGUGGUGAGUGGAGGAUCGAGUAGGAGGGUUUUCAGGGUGGGGAGAGGGUAGACGGAUUCGACCUUAAUUAGCAUACAGGCUUAGCUUAAGUAGUCUAAUAUACUAAAAUAAUCUGUGCAUAGGGACCUAAAACAGGCCUUACUUAAUUAGUUGAACCCUAAAUUGUAGGCGAAUGCUAAACCUUUGAUCUUGUGUGUUAAAACUCCAUGAAGCAUUCAAGCUGAUCUUUUUUAAAAGUUCCAGCACACAUGAUUUGUAACUGUUAUGAGUCCUUGGUGUUGUAUUUGCAUAUUCCUGUAAUGAGUUAUCUUGUUUUUCAAUAAAUACUGUUUGUCAAUAAAAGUGCUGGAACUUCA